GAUGAACGCUGGCGGCGUGCCUAAUACAUGCAAGUCGAGCGAAUGGAUUAAGAGCUUGCUCUUAUGAAGUUAGCGGCGGACGGGUGAGUAACACGCGGGUAACCUGCCCAUAAGAGUGGGAUAACUCCGGGAAACCGGGGCUAAUACCGGAUAACAUUUUGAACCGCAUGGUUCGAAAUUGAAAGGCGGCUUCGGCUGUCACUUAUGGAUGGACCCGCGUCGCAUUAGCUAGUUGGUGAGGGAACGGCUCACCAAAGCAACGAUGCGUAGCCGACCUGAGAGGGUGAUCGGCCACACUGGGACUGAGACACGGCCCAGACUCCUACGGGAGGCAGCAGUAGGGAAUCUUCCGCAAUGGACGAAAGUCUGACGGAGCAACGCCGCGUGAGUGAUGAAGGCUUUCGGGUCGUAAAACUCUGUUGUUAGGGAAGAACAAGUGCUAGUUGAAUAAGCUGGCACCUUGACGGUACCUAACCAGAAAGCCACGGCUAACUACGUGCCAGCAGCCGCAGUAA
rnacentral:rRNA from 1 species